UUCGCAUGAUAAACUGUGGUUGUGUGGAAAACAGAAAACGAGAUAGCGAUGUCCGAAGGCUGGCCGCACGAAGAACGUAACGCCGCGCUGUCGCUGACUAAGUUAAAUUGACUGUGUCAAAUUGAAUUUCCAACUAUGGCAAACACGCAAGUGCAUCAAAUGGAAACCGAAUCGUAAAGCGGAAAGCUUGACGCUUAAAUUAUAAUAAUCGGAUAAAAGACUGAAAAUCAUGGAGGAGUUCGGGAAGCUUUGAAAGUUCGAUGUCGUAACACCAGGAGGAGCGCCAGGUACAGAAAUACGGGAAUUUACGAAACUGCGGAAACGAAACGACGAUACCUCGCGCUGUAUCGACGCAGAGCCUCUUUUUUCAAGUCACGUAUUUCUGGCCUACACUUAUUCGUAACGUAAAUUUCACCGAGGUAUACAAACGAAUGAGCGACGACGAUGGCAACUCGUUAGGGAAUCGAUGGCAGACAAUAGUUCACAGUCUCGGAAGCGAAAGCCACGAGAGUUGAUGACGUCUUACGACAUAUCUCGCUCGUAAUGCAUCAAAGAGAUGCGUCGCUGAUUGAAAUGUGAGAAAUAUCGACGGAUUCGAAAAGCAAC